rnacentral:rRNA from 1 species
UACGAAGGGGCUAGCGUUGACUCGGAAUCACUGGGCGUAAAGCGCACGUAGGCGGAUUGCUAAGUCAGGGGUGAAAAUCCCGUGGAGCUCAACUCCAGAAUCUGCCUUUGAUACUGGUGAUCUUGAGUCCGGGAGAGGGUGGAGUGGAACUGCGAGUGUAGAGGUGAAAAUUCGUAGAUAUUCGCAAGAACACCAGUGGCGAAGGCGGACUCCACGUGGC